UGUAAAAGGGACCUGGAUCUGGCUUUUAGUGCAAAAGCAGAAAAUUCAGACCGUGUCCUAACUACACAGUCAUUUCUGGUCCUUCCCCAGCUCAGUGAGUCAGCCGGGAGAAGCACCUCGCAGUGACCAUCCACUCCCCGAGCCAGGGGAAGUUCACGCCUGCCCGUCUGAGACAGGACCACGUCUCUUCCUAAAUGUGAGCGUCUUCUCCAGCAGGCAAGUCUGUGAAACAAGCACCUGCUAAAAACCUACUAGGAACCAGGUGUCGUGAUCAUUACUACGCUCGCCUUCAGAAGGCUCGUCACCUGCAGGCAAAAAGCCGGAAUCUGUGCAGGACGCACUGCCAGGUGUGAGGUCAGCAGAGGAUGGAGCAGCGUGUUCUCACUGGGUGGUUAAGGGAAGACUCAACAUUUUAGUGGAUCUUAGGGCAGGAUGUAAAACAAAAACGCAAUGGAAGGAGUGUAGAAUUUCAGCUCAAACACUUCCUGCUUCAGGAAGCAGUUGAGCGGUUACAAGGCUGCGAUUGUGUCACGUCCACCCCCAGUAACGACAGACCUGCCAGGACCCUGCGGUUGCUCAAGCAGCGGCCUCAGGGCCCGGGGGAGCCAGAGCACAGCCCUGUGGGGGGAGCCAGGCCCCUUCCUCGUGUGCCCUGGGGUGCUGGCUUCCCACGCCCAGGGUCAAGUGAGUCUUUUCACGCCCUGGCCCAAGAAGAGGCCUUGCCUUCACAACAGCCGUUUCCCUGGAGUAACGGUGAGGAAGUGGCCAGGCAGAUGGAGAGCCUGCGGGAUGAAGGCCGUGCAGUUCACUCCUCGGUAAGGAGCCCGCUGAGUUAAAGCUGUGUUUGCAACGGAAGUGAGAAGUUCAUCAGGACAGGCACGUGGCCCAGAAACCUCUGUCUUCCCCAGGUCCCCGCUGGCCCCUGCGGUGUCUCUGUGAGAACCAGAAAAAGACCCCUGUCCUCGAUGUCAGCCGACCGUCCCCAGGCGGGCCUGGCCAGCACAACCCACGCACUGGUUUCACAGCGGACAGAGGCAGGCCUGGGCGGUGUGGGGACUUCGCACAGGCCACACGGGCUCCUGAGUCACCGGACCUGAUAGAAGCCAGAAAAACAAGGUACUGACGGCGGGUGGUGCAGUGCGGCCCACACCGCCCAGCGGCCGCAGCAUCCCUGCACACAUGCCAGAAACUCGGCCCCGUCGCAGACAGACUGAACCAGCAAUUCUGGGCUCUGAUGUGCGCAGAGGUCGGAACCACGGGCAAGACAUGGGCGCUCAGACCUCCUGGGUUUCAAGCCAUCUCUGUACGUCACUCAGGGACAGUCACCUGACCUCCCCGAGUGCUGGGAAACAAGCUGCUGGAAGACAAGCCGCACCUAAAUUUCCGUGAGCUUAAAAUACUGUAUUCACACUUACUUGCUUAAAAUGCACAUGCUUGCUUUGUUUUAAUGUUUCACACAGUAGAUGAAAUGUGUGAGGAGAAAUCCUGAGAUUGACCGUAAGGGCACGAAGGAGGGCGGGUACUUCCUUAGGGUGAGACAAUGGACAGUCCUGGAAAGCCAGAUUACCCAUUAACAGAACUUGGUUCUGCAUGAAAGCAUGCGGUUUAACCCGAGGGAGGUAUUUGCUAUCUCGAGAUGUCCUGGAGGCAUUAACAGGAUAGACUUAGACAUUUUGCAAACCCCCAGGAGGGUGACUGUUCCUGGAAGGGAAGGGCCUGAAAUUAAUCAGUUAGCCAGCAAGCAGAACUUCGUGCUUCUGGCAUGGAGUGUCUAAAGCCCCCCUCCCUGAUCGCAUUUUUUCCUGAGCUGUAACUCCUAAUAAACAUGAUGUCGGCCAGGCUUUCGGGGCUCUGGAUCCACGAGAGCUUGAGUCCCCUGGUCGCGUCUUUGCUCUUUA